rnacentral:rRNA from 1 species
UGGGGAAUUUUGGACAAUGGGCGCAAGCCUUAUCCAGCAAUGCCGCGUGCAGGAUGAAGGCCUUCGGGUUGUAAACUGCUUUUGUACGGAGCGAAAAGGUCUGCCCUAAUACGGUGGGCUCAUGACGGUACCGUAAGAAUAAGCACCGGCUAACUACGUGCCAGCAGCCGCGGUAAUACGUAGGGUGCGAGCGUUAAUCGGAAUUACUGGACGUAAAGCGUGCGCAGGCGGUUAUAUAAGACAGGUGUGAAAUCCCCGGGCUCAGCCUGGGACCUGCAUUUGUGACUGUAUAGCUAGAGUACGGUAGAGGGGGAUGGAAUUCCGCGUGUAGCAGUGAAAUGCGUAGAUAUGCGGAGGAACACCGAUGGCGAAGGCAAUCCACUGGACCUGUACUGACGCUCAUGCACGAAAGCGCGGGGAGCAAACA